rfam:Heterocephalus glaber contig6895, whole genome shotgun sequence.
AGCUUUGCACAGUGGCAGUAUCAUAGCCAAUGAGAUUUAUGCAAGGCGCAAUAAUUGCUAAUUGAAAACUAAUGAUAAUUGA